rfam:Ovis aries breed Texel chromosome 2, whole genome shotgun sequence.
UCCCUAGUUGUCCAGUGGCCAAGACUCUGCACUCCCAAAGUAGGGGACCCAGGUUCAAUUCCUGAUCAGGGAA